CGAGAAGAGCACAAAACAAACCUGAGAACACAGAAAGGGACAUGUCGCCAAAUGUCAAAAUGCAAGUUGGUAAAGUGGAAUUUGAUGGGGAAUUUAUUAUCCAGCCAAUGAAAGGAAACAAGGGUUUAAAAGUCCAUAGCCAGUGCAGUACAGUUGACCAGACAGAACUCUGGACAAAGUGCCUUGACAAACCUUGUGAAAAGGUGAUCUCAGAGCAUUUCCUUACAAUGGAAACCAGAAUGGUCUUAAUCAAUCUCUUGACUGUCAUUGUCUUUUCUUCAGUGGUUCAGACAUUUGUGCCUCCUAUGAUACCCAGGAAGCUUCAACACCAAGAAGACAUUAGGCAAAGAAUUGCUGAAGAUUCUGCAGGUGAACAAAAGAAGAUCAUGAAUUUUUUAUCAAUAUUUGAUGAAGUGCAGAAAAUAAUGAAGCCUAGAUUAGUUCCAACAACCCCAGGACUUCCAGAUUAUGCCAAGAUAUUUGGAAAGGGAGUCAAAAAGGAUAAUUUGGAUGAAUUUCAUUCUCGUCCCCGUUUCUCACAACACAAAGAUGCUACUGAAUCAAACAGAAAGUUCCUGCGAAAAUAUCCAUUCAGUGGGAAAAACUUCAGGAAAACAGCACCACAGUCUCCCAAGAAAUCAAAGAAAAGAGCCUGUUUUUGGAAAUACUGUGUACAAAGCAAGUAGGUCUAAGAUAUCGUCAGCAUCAACAACACACCAUCCUGAAAAUUAUUUCAAGUCUGACAAUGAAAUCUUCAAAAUCUGAAGACACUUUCCAGAGAGAAGAUUCAGCUGUCAUUAGUUUUAUUUUUAAGCUAUUUGACCAUAUUUGCCUUAGGCACAUAUGUACAGAAUGUCUCAUGUCAG
rnacentral:lncRNA from 1 species